AACGAACGCUGGCGGCAGGCUUAACACAUGCAAGUCGAACGGGUGUAGCAAUACAUCAGUGGCAGACGGGUGAGUAACACGUGGGAACCUUCCUAGGGGUACGGAACAACUCAGGGAAACUUGAGCUAAUACCGUAUACGUCCGUAAGGAGAAAGAUUCAUCGCCCCUAGACGGGCCCGCGUCGGAUUAGGUAGUUGGUGGGGUAACGGCCUACCAAGCCUACGAUCCGUAGCUGAUCUGAGAGGANGAUCAGCCACACUGGACUGAGACACGGCCCAGACUCCUACGGGAGGCAGCAGUGGGGAAUCUUGGACAAUGGGCGGCAAGCCUGAUCCAGCCAUGCCGCGUGAGUGAAGAAGGCCUUAGGGUUGUAAAGCUCUUUUACCAGGGACGAUAAUGACGGUACCUGGAGAAUAAGCCCCGGCAAACUUC
rnacentral:rRNA from 1 species